UCAAGAUUUUGUUAGAAGAAUCAGAUUUCAAUGUAAACAGGAAUUGGUUUUGUGAAAGAUUUUUCUCAAAAUUUUUUCUUUAAAAUUCCAUAUAUGAGUAAUUAAAAACAUAAUCACCUAAAUAAGAAAAAGAUUAAUCCUUAGAAAUCAGAAUUUCAAAUUUUCUCUCUUUUUCUACUUCCCUUCCGAUUGUGGAUGGUAAAAACACUAUUUCCCUUAUUCAAUUUUCCUAUCUGUUAUUUCUUUUAGGCUGUUUAAUUGUUUCAACGAAGCUGACUGUUUUCCUCUUUCUUCAUGCUUGGGAAAGUUUCAAUCGCACGUUGCUGAAAGUAGCAACUUAACUCGGAGAAAAAAAUAGGCAAGCUUUAAGCUAUCUUUGCCGAAUGGAGAAUGGAGACUAUUGACGAAGGUUUGUUUCAUUUCCCCCUCAGGGUAAGAUCCCCAAAUCAUAUCAAUGUUUUGACAUCUAAUUCUUUUCAAAAUUAAUUAAAUGGGUUUGUACGUUUUUCGAUUUAAAAACUGUAGUCCACGCUUGUUUCAAAUCAUGAUUUUGUUAGAAGAAUCAGAUUUCAAUGUAAACAGGAAUUGGUUUUGUGAAAGAUUUUUCUCAAAAUUUUUGCUUUAAAAUUCCAUAUAUGAGUAAUUAAAAACAUAAUCAACUAAAUAAGAAAAAGAUUAAUCCUUAGAAAUCAGAAUUUCAGUUUUUCUCUUUUUUUCUACUUCCCUUCCGAUUGUGGAUGGUAAAAACACUAUUUCCCUUAUUCAAACUUCAAUUCAUCGUCGUCAUUCAUCGCCGAAUCAAAAACAUCGCUGAUUCUUCUAUAAAACGAUGAUUGAUACUAAUGAACCCUCGGGAGCUCGAGAAAAAUUAAAGAACAAAGCAAUUGCAACUGCCUCAAACGACGAAUAACACGACCACAGACAACAUGAUGAGGAUGACGCCGCUUGUGUAGGUGGUGGUGGUGAUUCUGAUAAUCAAACUCUCCAGGAAAUGUUCCCAAUUAUGGUAGCCUUAAUGAUGCCAGGUUCAAACGGGCAAUAUGUGAGUCCUAAUAAUUCUUUAAAACCAUGCCGCUUUUAUAAUAGCUUGUUUAUCCUAUAGAAGACAUUGGUGGCAAGUGAGAGCUUAUGUGGGUACAUGUCAAAUAGCAGUAUAGAUAGGCUAGAGAAGUGGUAAUAACGGGGCCUGCAAAUUGGGCUACAGCGUUAGGAUUGGAUUACUUCAAGGGCAUUGCAUUAAAUCACAUAAAUUCCCUCAUAUAUACUACAAAAUCAACAACCAAGUAAUGACAUUAUGGUUUUCAGAUAUAUAUAGUUUUGCUAACAUAAGCGUAUGUGUGGACAAGCGUAUGUCCAUGAUAUCUCUCGAAGUUCUUCUGGAGAAGCGUCGAAAAUCCAUGAUAAAACUCUGCUGAAAUAGUACGUCUUAAUACACAAGACCAAGAAUAUGAAUUUCUCCCACUGAUCUUGAGGUAUAUGCAUAAAUCUGUAAUAAUUUCAUCCAAAACUUGAGACAUUUAUAGCUUUGUUGAAUGUCAUAUACCAUUAUGGGAGGCUGCUUAAAUUUCAUACUUUUAUUUUUUAAAAUCUGUAGAUUAAAAUUUGUCACUAAUAAAGGCUAUUUUCACAUUUAA